CCUCGGACAACUGCUGCGGGCAGAUCAGGUGGACGUGGCUGUCGACCGCCCCCGCGGUGAGGAUCAGCCCGUUGCCGGCGAUCACCUCGGUGGACGGGCCGAUGACCAGCUUCGGGUCGACACCGUCCAUGGUGUCCGGAUUACCGGCCUUGCCCAGCGCCGUGAUGCGGCCGUCACGUAUCCCGACGUCGGCCUUGACGACCCCCCAGUGGUCGAGGAUCACCGCACCGGUGAUCACCAGGUCGGGCGCGCCGUCCGCCCGAGUGGCCACGCCCUGGCCCAUCGACUCCCGG
rnacentral:sRNA from 1 species